rnacentral:rRNA from 1 species
UACGAAGGGGCUAGCGUUGCUCGGAAUCACUGGGCGUAAAGGGUGCGUAGGCGGGUCUUUAAGUCAGGGGUGAAAUCCUGGAGCUCAACUCCAGAACUGCCUUUGAUACUGAAGAUCUUGAGUUCGGGAGAGGUGAGUGGAACUGCGAGUGUAGAGGUGAAAUUCGUAGAUAUUCGCAAGAACACCAGUGGCGAAGGCGGCUCACUGGCCCGGUACUGACGCUGAGGAGCGAAAGUGUGGGAGCGAACAGG